AGAUUUAAUUUUGUUUUGUGGGGCAGCAAGGACGAGGACCUGACUCCUGUUGAAAGGGUGCUUCCUAACACCAGCCUACAUCUUCACAGUCUUUAUGUUAGUAAUGUCCCGCUCAAGCUCUGAGCUCUGCUUUCUCUACACUGCUCUCCCUUGGCACUGUGCAGAAUACACUAUGUGGUCGGGAA